GACGAACGCUGGCGGUGUGCUUAACACAUGCAAGUCGAACGGUAAGGCCCUUUCGGAGGUACACGAGUGGCGAACGGGUGAGUAAGACGUGGGUAACCUUCCCUCAUCACUUGGAUAAGAGGGGGAAACGGUUGCUAAUACUGGAUAUGAGCUUGCCGGGCAUCUUGUGGGUUGGAAAGAUUUUUUGUGGUUGGGGAUGGACUCGCGGCGUAUCAGGUUUUUCGAGAUGUCGUGGCUCAGCAAGGCUUCGACGGGGAGCCGGCCUGCGAGUGCGACGGGACACACUGGGACCGAACUACGGCCCAAACUCCUAAGGGAGGCAGCAGGGGGGAAUAUCGCACAAUGGAAGGACGCCUGAUGCAGGAACGCCGCGUGCUGGAUGACGGCCUUCGGGUUGUAAGACGCUUUCAAGUGUGACGCAGCUUUUUUGUGACGGUAGCAGUAGAAGAAGCACCGGCUAACUACGUG
rnacentral:rRNA from 1 species